rnacentral:rRNA from 1 species
UACGUAGGGCGCAAGCGUUGUCCGGAAUUUAUUGGGCGUAAAGAGCUCGUAGGCGGUCUGUCACGUCGGAUGUGAAAGCCCGGGGCUUAACCCCGGGUCUGCAUUCGAUACGGGCAGACUAGAGUGUGGUAGGGGAGGACUGAAUUCCAGGUGUAGCGGUGAAAUGCGUAGAUAUCAGGAGGAACACCGAUGGCGAAGGCAGGUCUCUGGGCCAUUACUGACACUGAGAAGCGAAAGCAUGGGGAGCGAACAGG